UUAAGCGACUAAGCGUACACGGUGGAUGCCCUGGCAGUCAGAGGCGAUGAAGGACGUGCUAAUCUGCGAAAGCGUCGGUAAGGUGAUAUGAACCGUUAUAACCGGCGAUGUCCGAAUGGGGAAACCCAGUGCAAUUCGUUGCACUAUCGUUAACUGAAUACAUAGGUUAACGAGGCGAACCGGGGGAACUGAAACAUCUAAGUACCCGAGGAAAAGAAAUCAACCGAGAUUCCCCCAGUAGCGGCGAGCGAACGGGGAGCAGCCCAGAGUCUGAAUCAGCUUGUGUGUUAGUGGAACGGUCUGGAAAGUCCGACGGUACAGGGUGAUAGUCCCGUACACCAAAAUGCACAGGCUGUGAACUCGAAGAGUAGGGCGGGACACGUGGUAUCCUGUCUGAAUAUGGGGGGACCAUCCUCCAAGGCUAAAUACUCCUGACUGACCGAUAGUGAACCAGUACCGUGAGGGAAAGGCGAAAAGAACCCCGGCGAGGGGAGUGAAAAAGAACCUGAAACCGUGUACGUACAAGCAGUGGGAGCACCUUCGGGUGUGACUGCGUACCUUUUGUAUAAUGGGUCAGCGACUUAUAUUCUGUAGCAAGGUUAACCGUAUAGGGGAGCCGCAGGGAAACCGAGUCUUAACUGGGCGUUAAGUUGCAGGGUAUAGACCCGAAACCCGGUGAUCUAGCCAUGGGCAGGUUGAAGGUUGGGUAACACUAACUGGAGGACCGAACCGACUAAUGUUGAAAAAUUAGCGGAUGACUUGUGGCUGGGGGUGAAAGGCCAAUCAAACCGGGAGAUAGCUGGUUCUCCCCGAAAGCUAUUUAGGUAGCGCCUCGUGAAUUCAUCUUCGGGGUAGAGCACUGUUUCGGCUAGGGGGUCAUCCCGACUUACCAACCCGAUGCAAACUACGAAUACCGAAGAAUGUUAUCACGGGAGACACACGGCGGGUGCUAACGUCCGUCGUGAAGAGGGAAACAACCCAGACCGCCAGCUAAGGUCCCAAAGUCAUGGUUAAGUGGGAAACGAUGUGGGAAGGCACAGACAGCCAGGAUGUUGGCUUAGAAGCAGCCAUCAUUUAAAGAAAGCGUAAUAGCUCACUGGUCGAGUCGGCCUGCGCGGAAGAUGUAACGGGGCUAAACCAUGCACCGAAGCUGCGGCAGCGACACUAUGUGUUGUUGGGUAGGGGAGCGUUCUGUAAGCCUGCGAAGGUGACCUGUGAGGGUUGCUGGAGGUAUCAGAAGUGCGAAUGCUGACAUAAGUAACGAUAAAGCGGGUGAAAAGCCCGCUCGCCGGAAGACCAAGGGUUCCUGUCCAACGUUAAUCGGGGCAGGGUGAGUCGACCCCUAAGGCGAGGCCGAAAGGCGUAGUCGAUGGGAAACAGGUUAAUAUUCCUGUACUUGGUGUUACUGCGAAGGGGGACGGAGAAGGCUAUGUUAGCCGGGCGACGGUUGUCCCGGUUUAAGCAUGUAGGCUGGUUAUCCAGGCAAAUCCGGAUAAUCAAGGCUGAGGUGUGAUGACGAGGCACUACGGUGCUGAAGUAACAAAUGCCCUGCUUCCAGGAAAAGCCUCUAAGCAUCAGGUAACAUCAAAUCGUACCCCAAACCGACACAGGUGGUCAGGUAGAGAAUACCAAGGCGCUUGAGAGAACUCGGGUGAAGGAACUAGGCAAAAUGGUGCCGUAACUUCGGGAGAAGGCACGCUGGUGUGUAGGUGAAGCCCCUGCGGGUGGAGCCGAGACCAGUCGAAGAUACCAGCUGGCUGCAACUGUUUAUUAAAAACACAGCACUGUGCAAACACGAAAGUGGACGUAUACGGUGUGACGCCUGCCCGGUGCCGGAAGGUUAAUUGAUGGGGUUAUCCGUAAGGAGAAGCUCUUGAUCGAAGCCCCGGUAAACGGCGGCCGUAACUAUAACGGUCCUAAGGUAGCGAAAUUCCUUGUCGGGUAAGUUCCGACCUGCACGAAUGGCGUAAUGAUGGCCAGGCUGUCUCCACCCGAGACUCAGUGAAAUUGAACUCGCUGUGAAGAUGCAGUGUACCCGCGGCAAGACGGAAAGACCCCGUGAACCUUUACUAUAGCUUGACACUGAACAUUGAGCCUUGAUGUGUAGGAUAGGUGGGAGGCUUUGAAGCGUGGACGCCAGUCUGCGUGGAGCCAACCUUGAAAUACCACCCUUUAAUGUUUGAUGUUCUAACGUUGGCCCCUGACCGGGGUUGCGGACAGUGUCUGGUGGGUAGUUUGACUGGGGCGGUCUCCUCCCAAAGCGUAACGGAGGAGCACGAAGGUUAGCUAAUCCUGGUCGGACAUCAGGAGGUUAGUGCAAUGGCAUAAGCUAGCUUGACUGCGAGCGUGACGGCGCGAGCAGGUGCGAAAGCAGGUCAUAGUGAUCCGGUGGUUCUGAAUGGAAGGGCCAUCGCUCAACGGAUAAAAGGUACUCCGGGGAUAACAGGCUGAUACCGCCCAAGAGUUCAUAUCGACGGCGGUGUUUGGCACCUCGAUGUCGGCUCAUCACAUCCUGGGGCUGAAGUAGGUCCCAAGGGUAUGGCUGUUCGCCAUUUAAAGUGGUACGCGAGCUGGGUUUAGAACGUCGUGAGACAGUUCGGUCCCUAUCUGCCGUGGGCGCUGGAGAAUUGAGGGGGCUGCUCCUAGUACGAGAGGACCGGAGUGGACGCAUCACUGGUGUUCGGGUUGUCAUGCCAAUGGCACUGCCCGGUAGCUAAAUGCGGAAGAGAUAAGUGCUGAAAGCAUCUAAGCACGAAACUUGCCCCGAGAUGAGUUCUCCCUGAGACUUUAAGUCUCCUGAAGGAACGUUGAAGACGAUGACGUUGAUAGGCCGGGUGUGUAAGCGCAGCGAUGCGUUGAGCUAACCGGUACUAAUGAACCGUGAGGCUUAACCUU
rnacentral:rRNA from 1 species